rnacentral:rRNA from 1 species
UCCGUAGGCGGGCGUCUAAGUCAGUGGUGAAAUCUUACAGCUCAACUGUAAAAUUGCUAUUGAUACUGGAUGUCUUGAAUUAGUGUGAAGUGGUUAGAAUGUGUAGUGUAGCGGUGAAAUGCAUAGAUAUUACACAGAAUACCAAUUGCGAAGGCAGAUCACUAACACUAUAUUGACGCUGAGGGACGAAAGCGUGGGGAGCAAACAGGAUUAGAUACCCUGGUAGUCC